rnacentral:SRP_RNA from 10 species
GCCAGGCAUGGUGGCGAGUGCCUGUAGUCCCAGCUACUUGGGAGGCUGAAGCAGGAGGAUCCUUGAGCCCGGGAGUUCUGGGCUGUAGUGUGCUAUGCUGAUUGGGUGUCUACACUAAGUUAGUCAUCAGUAUGGUACCUUCUGGGAGCAGGGGACCACCAGUCGCCUAAGGAGAGGUAAACCUGCCCUGGUCAGAAGCGGAGCAGGUCAAAACUCCCACGCUGCUCAGUAGUGGGAUUGCACCUGUGAAUAGCCAUUGCCCUCCAGCCUGGGCAACGUAGUGAGAUCCUACCU